UUUUAACUAGUUUUUUCAUGAAAUUAUUUUGAAAAUAGCUUGCAGCUGUACGAAGAAAUUUAAAAAAUAAAAUACAAGAUCUCUGAAUGUGAAUAAUAUCUACUUUCAGCUAAAGCAACUUUAGUUUUUUUGUUUACAAUUUUUAAACCUUUUUAAAAAUAUUUUUGAGCGUAGAAAUUUUUUAAUUUAAAUUUAUUCAGCAAGAUAAACCUUUUAUCUAUUUUGUAUUUUUUGCUUAUAUGAGGAUUCAAUUUUUUUUGCAGGGUUAAAAGAAAAUCUUAAUCAUUAAACUUGUGUAACCUGUUGCUAUGGUGCUCUUUUCCGAUUAUUCCAACCAUAUUCGCGUUUCAACAAAGAAACUUACCUGUUGUAAAGAAGGGAAAAGUAAACUAAAGCAGAAAGACUUUUUCUUGGAACUCGAUAUAAAUAUUUUUUGUGU